rnacentral:tRNA from 1 species
GCAAUGGCGGUUCAGUGGUAGAAUUCUCACCCUCCAGGCAGGAGACCUGGGUUCGAUUCCCAGUCAAUGUA